GACAGAGGCCUCGAGCGUUAGACGGAAUCACUGGGCUUAAAGCGUGUGUAGGUGGAUGCCUAAGUACCUUGUGAAAUCCCACGGCUUAACCGUGGAACUGCUUGGUAUACUGGGUGUCUUGAGCCAUCUAGGGGCAACUGGAACGAAUGGUGGAGCGGUGAAAUGCGUAGAUAUCAUUCGGAACGCCUAUGGUGAAAACAGGUUGCUGGGGAUGUGCUGACACUGAGACACGAAAGCCAGGGGAGCGAACGGG
rnacentral:rRNA from 1 species